rnacentral:tRNA from 1 species
AAUAAAGUGGCUGAGGUAUAAGCGGUAGAUUGUAAAUCUAUGAACGAAUAAUUAUUCCUUUAUU